ACACACUGGGGACACAGUGUAGGGUAUUUGCAGGUUGUCCUCUUGGCAGGGAUACAGGCAGUAGUUAAGGGGUGCAGGCAGUGGCAGGAGGGGAAGUGUAGGUGUCAGGCUGGGUAGCUGCAGGUGCAAUUUGCCUAUUGCAGGUUUCAGGUUGGGAAGCAUAGGGGUUAGAUGGUAUAACAAAGGUGUUAGUUUGGGUAGUGCUGGUGUCACUUUGGGUAUUACAGGUGUUAGGUUGGAUCCUGUAGGGUGGCACUUUGGGAACCAGAGGUGUCAGGCUGGGUAGAGUAGGUGGCACUUGAGGUGGCAUUAGGUUGGCUGUCAUAGGUGUUAGAUUGGGUAGUGUCAGUGUUACUUUGGGUGUCAUAGGUGUUAGGUUGGGUAUCAUAGUGUUAGGCUGGGUAUUGUGGGUGGCACUUUGUGUAUUACAGUUGUCAGGUUGGAUCCUGUGGUAGGUGGCACUUUGGGAACCAGAGGUGUUAGGUUGUGUAGCAUAGGUGGCACUUGAGGUGGCAUUAGGUUGGCUGUCAUAGGUGUUAGAUUGGGUAGUGUCAGUGUUACUUUGGGUGUCAUAGGUGUUAGGUUGGGUAUCAUAGUGUUAGGCUGGGUAUUGUGGGUGGCACUUUGUGUAUUACAGUUGUCAGGU